AAAAAAAAAAAAGGAACAUUCGCUGGCAAAUCAUGUGUUUACUUUUGGAAGCAAUCAUUUGCCUAUUGAAUGUCUGCAUGAUUAGACUUUUAUUAGUGUUUUAUUAUGAGAAAGAAUUGUUGUGUGUUCCUGCAUAUGGCAAGAAGCAUUCCAACAAGCCUUCUGCAGAGGCGUUCUGAAUGCCCUAUUUACAUUUUGUGCAGUUCAGUGGCUGAUUGUUCAGAUGAACUGAGUUCACAGUGCCAGCUAUUAUGCCAGUCUUCGUGAGCGCCACUGUGUCUUGGGGUGCUAAUCUACAAGCCCAGCCUUUUCUCUGGAAAAGUGUUUUGAUUUGUGCCCUGUGAUUCUAAAAGCCAUGUUUCUUCUCCCACGGGGAACUUAGGAACUCAUUUGUUACGUUCGCGCCAACCCACCUUACAGUCAGGUAUGUGCAGCUCAGUCUGACCCCAGACAUUAUGUGAUAGCAGCUUUGAGCUCAGAGUUAUUUACACUCAACACUUUUCUGCAAGGUCAGCAGAGGCUGAUGUUUAUACUCAAUGCCGUAAGUUUAGAAGGAAGCCAUGGAAAACCUCUAGUUGAGCUGGAGAGCAGAUAGCAUCUCCAGGCUCAGCUUUCCACUCAUCUUCCCUUUCUCUUUCUGACUGCUAUAAAAUCUUCAAACUUACUCACCUGGACUUAGACUCACUUCUUUACCUUUUAAUUUUGUGUGUGUUUUGGGAGGAAGGGGAGUGAGAUUGCAUGAUUUACGAUGGUGAGGGAGUGGGCUAUUGGGGAGCAGUGGGUAGAAGCGACUCGAUGCAGUUGGUAGAUGUAUUUGGUUUGAGUCAUUGACAGACAUCAGCAUGUCAUUAAAUUAUAGAUGAUGUACUCAGCUUAAUGAGAGAAUGAAUUUCAUAAGAAAUUGAAAAUAUUUCAGUACAUUAUUAAAUGGUGGUUAUUAUAGAUAAUCCUCUGGGGCCAUCUUCUUUUUCAAGUAAGUUAUUUAAGCAAAAGACUAAAUCAGCCUUUCGGUUCCAUCUUUUCUAGUCCAUUAAAAUUUUAGUUUUACCUGUAUGAUAAAUGUAAGAUCUUUCUGAAGACAGCACACCUGUAUGCUCAGAAGAGGAACAGCAUCAGAAAUCGUAUGGAUGGCACUUUCAGUUUUCAGAUUCCUGCAUACCCUCUGAUUGUUCCCAUCACCACACCCCGGGCAUACAUAUAAAAUUAAUAUGGCGGUGAAAGGUUAAAAGCUUUGAGAAACAAGUUAAAAGAAAUCUUUCUUUUGUUAUAGGUGCUAUUUUGUUUAAUGAAUCUCAUCCACUUUUUGUUUUUGCUUUUAAACUUUAGAAACGACAUAAAGCUGAUAAUGCCGUGAACAAGAAACAGACACAAGUUUUGAGAAAUGGUGCUUGGGAAAUUGUGCACUGGGAAAAGGUAUGCAUUGGUUUUUAUUUUGUUACAGGAGAAGGAUUGCAUAGAGGUGUACUCUCGUAGAUGUAAUUUGUGUGUGUAUAAUAGAGGUAAAUGUCAAGGUUUCCACUGCUAUUAAAGCUGUUUAGUAACUAAUGUAGUAAACACACAUGGACUCUUCAGUCACUUUAUUUAAUAAUUUAAUAAGCCCAUUUAAUAAUUCUGCAAUAUGUUACAAAGACCGUUAUCUCAAAGUCAAUUAGAACUUUUUGUUUCUUUCAUAGUCUAUUUUGAGUACUAUGUGCAUAGAUUUCAUUUAACCGUGGACUGUUUUGUGUCCUACUUAUUUUGCUUCAAUCAUCUACUGUCCAAGUAAAACAGAAAUUAGAUUCUGAUAGUUGGCAUUUGUUUAUGUUCCUUCAGACUCAUAUGUUGUGACUAAUCACGUUUACACACUGCUAAUUCAUUUUUGUGAAAUAAAAUCUUACUAAACAUCAUUUUCCAGUAAUCUGGAAAUCAGUUCCAUAACUUCAAGAGGUUAAUUUACUCACAGGCCCUCUAACAUGGCAGGUAGCAAGUUGAGUCAUAAUUUCACAAGUGUUUUCCAAGUGUUUGUGUGCUUUUCAGAUCUCAAUUUCAGAAGGUAAGCGCUGAUUGUUAGUUCUCCCUUAGUUCUGGAAGGCCCUUAAACUGCUAGUCAUCCGAAGCGAAUAACCUUCAUCACUUGGUAAGAGACUUUUGGAAGUGAGGCCAUUCUACUCAGGGGACCUGGGGAUCUGAGAUUGCUAGGACAACAGAGGAGUAACCCACACUCAGUUUACUUGCACUCUGGUAUUUCCCAGUUAAAGGCCGUGCCCUUGAUUCUACCUUGUGAUGUUCAGAGUCCCCUGAAUUAGUUGCAUUUUUAUGGACUUUAAAUCAGUGUCUAGAACAGAGAUGGACAUCUCCUAUUCUGGAUUUCCAAAAACUCACUCCGCUCUCCCUUUGGUCUUUGACAUAAACAUAACAAAGAGAAAGAUAUUUUAAUUAUGCUUUCCUUAUUUCUGUGAUAGUCACCUCCCUCAGAGGAGCAAGAUAAAAAAAACAAAAAUCUCAAUUUACUGUUUGAAAAGAAGUUUCUGUAUACUCUUGUAUGGUACUUGUGGAUUUAAAUACUUCAGAGAGAAGACAAGUAGAAUAUCAUCAAGUAUGAUAAAUUGAAUUUGACUAUAAAUGUAUUUCAUUGACUAGGUUAACAAUAGUGCAUAUCCUAAUAAACGGAUAUAUCAGUUUCUUCUUAGCUAGAGUGGCUGCUUAGAAGAUGAACAGUUGUAAAGUGAGGAGAUAACAUCUCCUACUUCACUAAAAAAUUAACCUGUUAAAAGGGUCUUAUUUUCCUACUAGACAGUCCUACUAGACUGAAUUAUUUUAACUUUUCCAAUUUUUCACAGACCAGAAAAAAAAAAUUACCAGCCCAUGAUUACCCACAGUGAUAGCAUCCUCAGUUGUCUUAGAGACAAAUGCCACACCUUAAUCCCACUUUGAGAUGCAGAGAGGUAGAAUUUAAAGUGUUGCCAAAUCAUCCAGCCCAAAUGAGCUGAUGUUACUUGAUGAGUAGAAGUAGAUACUUAAUUAAUCAGAAUUAAUAAAAGUUGGUUCAAUGAUGAGUUCAAGAUAAAUAUUCAUAAAUUGAUAUUACUCUUUUUUCAGCAAUAGCAAUUUUGAAGAAUACAAUGAAAAAGAUAUUUCAGGAGUUCCCGUGGUGGCUCAGUGGGAUAAGAACCCGACUAGUAUCCCUGAGGAUGCUGGUUCCAUCUCUGGCCUCACUCAGUGAGUUAAGGAUCCAGCAUUGCCAUAAACUGUGGUAUGGGUCACUGAUGCGAGUCGGAUCCUUUGUUACUGUGGCUGUGGCAUGGGCUGGCAGCUGCAGCUCCAAUUCAGCCCUUGGCCUGGAAACUUCCAUAUGCCACAGGUACAGUCAUAAGGAAAAAAAAAAAAAAAAAAA
rnacentral:lncRNA from 1 species